rnacentral:rRNA from 1 species
UCGCCUGUUUAUCAAAAACAUCUCCCCUAGAUUUUUGUGGAUUAGGGGUAGGCCCUGCCUUGUGAUUAGGUUCUAACGGCGAUGUUAAAUCUUAAAGUAGCGUGAUAAGUCGGCCUUUAAUUGGGGUCUGGUAUGAAUGGGUUGACGUGGAGGGGCUGUCUCAAAGUAAGCGGUCGAAAUUUUCUUUCUAGUGAAAAGCCUGGAAUGCUAUUAAAAGACGAGAAGACCCCGUCGAGCUUGAUUAUUAUAAUGAGUAUUCUUUAUAGGACGUUUAAUUGGGGCAAUUAAGGAGAAAAUAAAUCUCCUUUAUUUUUUCAAGGAUCCACUAGCUAUAGUGAUAUGAGGAAAAAGUUACCGCGGGGAUAACAGCGCAAUACCACCGUAUAGGUCAUAUAGACGGUGGGGGUUGCGACCUCGAUGUUGGAUUAAGGCACAGUUUGGUGCAGAAGCUAAACGAAGUGGGACUGUCCGUCCUUUAAUUCCUUACAUGAUCUGAGUU